AAUGGGGGAUAACGUAGCGAAAGUUACGCUAAUACCGCAUAUGCCCUGAGGGGGAAAGGUGGGGAUCGCAAGACCUAUCGUUUUCGGAGUGGCCGAUAUCAGAUUAGCUAGUUGGUGGGGUAAAGGCCCACCAAGGCGACGAUCUGUAGCGGGUCUGAGAGGAUGAUCCGCCACACUGGGACUGAGACACGGCCCAGACUCCUACGGGAGGCAGCAGUGGGGAAUUUUGGACAAUGGGGGCAACCCUGAUCCAGCCAUGCCGCGUGAGUGAAGAAGGCCUUCGGGUUGUAAAGCUCUUUCAGCCGGAAAGAAAUCGCGCAGGCUAAUAUCCUGUGUGGAUGACGGUACCGGAAGAAGAAGCACCGGCUAACUACGUGCCAGCAGCCGCGGUAAUACGUAGGGUGCGAGCGUUAAUCGGAAUUACUGGGCGUAAAGCGUGCGCAGGCGGUUUUGUAAGACAGGCGUGAAAUCCCCGGGCUUAACCUGGGAACUGCGUUUGUGACUGCAAGGCUAGAGUGUGGCAGAGGGGGGUAGAAUUCCA
rnacentral:rRNA from 1 species